GAAUAAACAAAACCAAAUAAAAUCAUUUCAUUGAAGAACCCCAAUUCUUAAACCCUAAUCACAAGCCAAAGCCUGUUACAAGUACAACCGACCGAUCAUGUUAAUAAUGAACAGAAUGCCAAAAACCCAAAAAAAGAAAGAGAAAAAAGAGUCAAGAUUUGACCCAAAGAACAUAAACCCAGAUGACAUAUUUGGAAUCUGAAUAGUGAUGAUGAUGGGAAGAAUUGCCAUCGUCAAAAUUGAGAGCAUAACUGGAAGGAUCAUACUGGAACUUGAAAUGCUUUUGUUUCUUCACCGUCUUCUUCACUGCUGCUCUCACUCUCCAAAACAGAUUCCUGCAUUGUUUCUUCCCAUAACUGCUUACCCGCUCCAAUUUCUUCCCCAUCACACCCAUCUAACUUACCUUACAAACACAAACCCAAAAGAUCCUAGACCUUGCUUAUAUAAUAUUAUAGCAGCAAACAGUAUGUGGGUUGAGGCUUACUUAAAAAGGAGAGGAGAGGAGAGGAGAGGAGAGAUGAUAAGAGGAAAAGGGGUGGCUGUUCCAAUGUUGUUGUUGUUGUUGUUGGGAUAUAAACAAAAAAGAAAGAGAAGGCAUCCACUUUUUUGAAGGAGGAAAAGAAAGCAAUUGAGGAGAAAAUUGCAGAGGAAAGGAGUGUUUUCAGUUUUGUAGUGAUUAUGGAAAUGACAUUGGGAUGCUAAAAUUCCAUCACUCAUCUUCAGAGAUUUUAUGUAGAAUCACUAUCAGAUUCUUGAGGUUCAUUUGGUUGUAGACUUGUGUCCACUAGCACCCAACGAAUCCGUAUCACACGCCGCUUCAUUAUGAGUUUCCUCUCUACCUUUUUUUUCUCUCUCCCCCCACAAAAAAAAAAAAGAUAUUUCUCCCAGAAUAUUCUCCCCCCAAUUCAACCACUUAACUAAACAUUACCCAUAAUUCCAUUUCUUCUUCUACCUUUUUUUUUUUUAAUUCACCCACUAUGCCUUGACUAUACAAUCUAUGUUCUGAACACUUUGUGCAUUUAGUGUGUAAUCUUGGAUACUUGUAUUCUCAUUAAAAUAUUGUAUUACCCAUAAUUCAAUGUUACCCAUACUUCUACCCUUUUUUUUUGUAAUUCACCAAUCAUGCCUUGACUAUUCGGUAGGUGUUUCGAACAUUUUG
rnacentral:lncRNA from 1 species